rnacentral:rRNA from 1 species
UACGAGAGGCGCAAACGUUAUUCGGAAUUACUGGGCUUAAAGAGUUCGUAGGCGGCGCAGAAAGUAGGGUGUGAAAGCCCUCGGCUUAACCGAGGAAUUGCGCUCUAAACUACUGUGCUUGAGGGACCUAGAGGUGAGCGGAACUGAUGGUGGAGCGGUGAAAUGCGUUGAUAUCAUCAGGAACACCGGAGGCGAAGGGCGGCUCACUGGGGGUCUUCUGACGCUGAGGAAACGAAAAGCCAGGGGAGCGAUCCGG